GCAAGUCGAACGGAAACGAUGGGAGCUUGCUCCCAGGCGUCGAGUGGCGGACGGGUGAGUAAUACUUAGGAAUCUACCCAGUAGCGGGGGACAACAUUCGGAAACGGAUGCUAAUACCGCAUACGCUCUACGGAGGAAAGCAGGGGAUCUUCGGACCUUGCACUAUUGGAUGAGCCUGCGUCGGAUUAGCUAGUUGGUGAGGUAAAGGCUCACCAAGGCGACGAUCCGUAGCUGGUCUGAGAGGAUGAUC
rnacentral:rRNA from 1 species